rnacentral:rRNA from 1 species
UGGCGGUGCGCCUAAUGCAUGCAAGUCGAACGGGCGAAGGGGCUUCGGCCCCCUAGCUAGUGGCAGACGGCUGAGUAACACGUAAGUGAUCUGCCCCGGAGAGGGGGAUAAGCCGGAGAAAUUCGGUCUAAUACCCCGUACGCUCCCUUUACUACGGUAUAGGGAGGAAAGGUUCCGGCGCUCUGGGAGGAGCUUGCGGCCUAUCAGGUAGUUGGUGGGGUAACAGCCUACCAAGCCGAAGACGGGUAACCGGUGUGAGAGCACGAUCGGUCAGAGGGGGACUGAGACACGGCCCCCACUCCUACGGGAGGCAGCAGCAGGGAAUCUUGCGCAAUGGGCGAAAGCCUGACGCAGCGACACCGCGUGGGGGAUGAAGGCUUUCGAGUUGUAAACCCCUUUUCCCGGGGAUGAGAAAGGACAGUACCCGGGGAAUAAGGUUCGGCUAACUACGUGCCAGCAGCCGCGGUAAUACGUAGGAACCGAGCGUUGUCCGGAUUUACUGGGCGUAAAGUGCGCGUAGGCGGUCUGUUAAGUCUCAUGUGAAAUCUCCCGGCUCAACUGGGAGGGGUCAUGGGAUACUGGCAGACUGGAGUGCAGUAAAGGAAAGCGGAAUU